rnacentral:rRNA from 1 species
GACGAACGCUGGCGGCGUGCUUAACACAUGCAAGUCGAACGGAAAGGCCCUGCUUUUGUUGGUUGCUCGAGUGGCGCACGGGUGAGUAACACGUGAGUAACCUGCCCUUGACUUUGUGAUAACUUCAGGAAACUGGGGCUAAUACCGGAUAGGAUCUCCUGCUGCAUGGUGGGGGUUGGAAAGUUUCGGCGGUUGUGGAUGGACUCGCGGCUUAUCAGCUUGUUGGUGGGGUAGUGGCUUACCAAGGGUUUGACGGGUAGCCGGCCUGAGAGGGUUACCGGGCACAUUGGGACUGAGAGACGGCCCAGAAGGCUACGGGAGGCAGCAGGGGGGAAUAUGGCACAACGGGCGGAAGCCUGAGGCAGCAACGCCGCGUGCGGGAUGACGGCCUUCGGGGUGUAAACCGCUUUCGACUGUGACGAAGCGUGAGUGACGGUAAUGGGUAAAGAAGCACCGGCUAACUACGUG